rnacentral:scRNA from 1 species
AUCUGUGGGAGGAAACUCAGCUGGAGUGACGGGUGGUGUGGACAGCUGCUGUACAGCAUGGGAGGGGUGUAAGCUGAAUGGAACAGAGGACGUGUGUGUGUGUGUGUGUGUGUGUGUGUGUGUGUGUGUGUGUGUGUGUGUGUCUACACCCAUGUCCCUCCCCGUGCCUACACCUUGAUUCUGCUUGAUCAGGUAGGUUCUGUGACCCCCACCUCCAGCCCACCAUCCUAAAAAGAAAAGCCAAGCUUCCGUGACUCCCUUUUUUGUGGCACUGCGCUGA